CCCGCUAUGCCUAAUAGCAGCUAUGCCACUGAAAACAUUAAAAAAAGUGUAACAUCCGGUUUAUAAUAAAUUUAGAGAUAAAUAUUAGUUAUUAUAAGUGUAAGAUUGUAAACAUCUUGAAGAGAAUAUACAUAUUUUGUUGAACAUUGCAGUUCAAAGCUAUCCACAAUUCCUUUUAAACGCCCCUUUACCAUCCCCUCGAUUUCUAAUGAUAACUUCUGUACGAGACGCCUUCAGCUGUGUAAAGAUCAUUGAUGGACAGUUCUCAUAUCUACACAUGCUGACACCGGAGCGGUAGUUGGAACUGUUUAAAUGAUACCUUGCCAAAGAUGUGCCUUCUCUCGAUUGAACAACGAUUUUAUACUCACGCUACGAAAUAGGAUAAUUAUUUGACAUUCGGAAACGGUUUAACCAAUUAUUUGGUGUAUACGUAGGCAUACUGAAUCUUAAUCAUUUUUUUAUGUUCGCAUAGCGUUUCAAAAGAAUAAGAAAUGGCGAAUGCAUUCGGAUUCUACCUGAUAUUUGUGUGUGGCUUGACCGAUCUAAUAACUAUCAACAAAUUGAAAGCAGAAAACAUCGACAAAAUGGAGGGCUGAGCCUUUCGCAGAGUUGUAUGUGAGAGCCAGGAACGACAACUCUGCGUGGAGAUUGCAUUUAUGCUUGGAAAGUCGUUGAAGGCUGGAGAAGGGAAGUAACUGCGCGUGGACCAGCUUAUGGAUAUGAAAAACACAUAACAGGGCUUUAACGGCACGUGAAUCGCAUUGUAAAGUAACGAUUUCUCCCGUUCAAGCCCUCCUUUUGCCAAGUUUCUUCACCCCGCCAGAGGGCAUUAUAGAUAGAGUUUAUGCAAUAAUACGAGUUAAAUAAUAUAGAGUAACAAAGCAAGAAGAAAUUUAAAACAAACGUUCUAUCUUACAUUUUUGGGAGUUAUUUUAUAAUAUGCUCUAUUUCCACGGAUGAGCUGUCAUUUUCAAAGAAGCCAAGUGGAAUACACAUUAAUAACAGCUAUUGUAAUUGUUGAAGGCACUUUCAAGAAGAUAUAAGUAACACACCUGUACUGUUUUGGAGUGCGGGUAUACAACCUGUUUGGGUAUUGUGUUAUGCAUAUGUGACGUUGUGAUGUAGCUACAGAUAUAAAGAGUCCACAACUAUUGAAGUGAUCGGCGUAUAUCGCCAUAUCGCCAUGUGCAAGCCUAUUGAAUUUAAAUAUAUGAUAUUUGUGUUUUUGGUCAAUUCACAAGUACAAAUGAUUUAGUUAUUAUGUGAAUUCUAACAUUUUCUUUUCGCCAGCGAAAUUGAGUUGAAGCAUAGCCACACAUUCUAAAACCCAUACACGCUGUUUUUUGCUUUGUAGUGUCUCCGUAAUUGAUACUGUCUGUUGAAUUAUUACUAUAGCAUUGUGAACAUCAAAGAUCUUACAGUUGAAUUAAUGCAAUAUAUGGCACUGUGUAAUAAAGUUACAUUUAUACUGCACAUAAUAUUAAACAUGAAACUUAAAUGCAAUAAAACAA